rnacentral:lncRNA from 1 species
AGUAACUGAUGGAUAGAACACGAUCAAAGAGAAAACAAGGCUUCGAGAUGAUUGAUUAAACACAAGGAGCGUCAAAAACUUCUUUAACUAUUUCAGUGUUCCGUCGAGGUCGCCGUUAACACCCUCUCCUUCUUUUCCUCCGUCAAUCUCAGAUGAGGCUAACUGGAGAUAAAGAUCUAACCAAAUAUCCCUGGUGGAGAUGAUGGUUUGUGAAAGAGGCUUGGAUUUAUCUUAGAUGUGUGAGAGAUAUUUUUAUUUUAUUUUUUUACUCUCAUCUGAAUAAAUAAAAGUGAAGAAGAGAUUCAGCAUAAGAGACUAAAGUAUCGUAAGUAGAAGAGAUUUAGUAAGGGAUUUUUUUGUUAUUUCAUAAUGAAAAAGUAUAUGAGUAGCAAAAAGUAGGUAUAACUGAUAUUACUUUGUAAGAAAGUAGGUGUAGAUGCUAAUAUCUC